rnacentral:rRNA from 1 species
CCUACGGGGGGCGGCAGUGGGGAAUAUUGCGCAAUGGGCGAAAGCCUGACGCAGCAACGCCGCGUGGGGGAUGAAGGUUUUCGGAUUGUAAACCCCUUUCGAUCGGAACGAAUCUCCUCCUGGUAAACAAUCAGGAGGAUCGACGGUACCGAGAGAAGAAGCCACGGCUAACUCUGUGCCAGCAGCCCCGGUC